GCCCCUAUAGCUCAGUGGUAGAGCGCUUCACUGUAAGUUACCGUAUCAAAAUCGACGGAGUUGAAUCUCCAAUGUUGACCUUCUUAGCGUAGUGUACUCUUAAGUGCUAUGAAGAGGUCCAUCGUUCGAACCGGUGUGGGGGCA